AGGGCAAAUGAUGAGAUACCAGACAGGGACAUCUGCAUUCCAAUAUUGGAGUAUGAUGAUUUGUCUGUGGGAAUCUCUCUGAUGCUUG
rfam:Helianthus annuus linkage group 16, whole genome shotgun sequence.